rnacentral:rRNA from 1 species
GAUGAACGCUGGCGGCGUGCCUAAUACAUGCAAGUCGAGCGAAUGGAUUAAGAGCUUGCUCUUAUGAAGUUAGCGGCGGACGGGUGAGUAGCACGUGGGUAACCUGCCCAUAAGACUGGGAUAACUCCGGGAAACCGGGGCUAAUACCGGAUAACAUUUUGAACCGCAUGGUUCGACAUUGAAAGGCGGCUGCGGCUGUCACUUAUGGAUGGACCCGCGUCGCAUUAGCUAGUUGGUGGGGUAACGGCUCACCAAGGCAACGAUGCGUAGCCGACCUGAGAGGGUGAUCGGCCACACUGGGACUGAGAAACGGCCCAGACUCCUACGGGAGGCAGCAGUAGGGAAUCUUCCGCAAUGGACGAAAGUCUGACGGAGCAACGCCGCGUGAGUGAUGAAGGCUUUCGGGUCGUAAAACUCUGUUGUUAGGGAAGAACAAGUGCUAGUUGAAUAAGCUGGCACCUUGACGGUACCUAACCAGAAAGCCACGGCUAACUACGUGCCAGCCGCCGCUGUAA